ACCAGCGGAGGGAUCAUUACCGAGUUUACAACUCCCAAACCCCUGUGAACAUACCAAUUGUUGCCUCGGCGGAUCAGCCCGCUCCCGGUAAAACGGGACGGCCCGCCAGAGGACCCCUAAACUCUGUUUCUAUAUGUAACUUCUGAGUAAAACCAUAAAUAAAUCAAAACUUUCAACAACGGAUCUCUUGGUUCUGGCAUCGAUGAAGAACGCAGCAAAAUGCGAUAAGUAAUGUGAAUUGCAGAAUUCAGUGAAUCAUCGAAUCUUUGAACGCACAUUGCGCCCGCCAGUAUUCUGGCGGGCAUGCCUGUUCGAGCGUCAUUUCAACCCUCAAGCCCUCGGGUUUGGUGUUGGGGAUCGGCGAGCCCUUGCGGCAAGCCGGCCCCGAAAUAUAGUGGCGGUCUCGCUGCAGCUUCCAUUGCGUAGUAGUAAAACCCUCGCAACUGGUACGCGGCGCGGCCAAGCCGUUAAACCCCCAACUUCUGAAUGUUGACCUCGGAUCAGGUAGGAAUACCCGCUGAACUUAAGCAUAU
rnacentral:rRNA from 1 species